GGGUAGAGGUAGAGGUAGAGGUAGAGGUAAAAGGUAGAGGUAGAGGUAAAAGGUUAAGGUAGGGGUAGAGGUAAAAGGUUAAGGUAGGGGUAGAGGUAAAGGUAGAGGUAGAGGUAAAAGGUAGAGGUAGAGGUAAAAGGUUAAGGUAGGG